GAUGAACGCUGGCGGCGUGCUUAACACAUGCAAGUCGAGCGAAGCGCGGAAGAAGAUUUCUUCGGAAUGAUUUUUUCGUGACUGAGCGGCGGACGGGUGAGUAACGCGUGGGGAACCUGCCUCAUACCGGGGGAUAACAGUUGGAAACGACUGCUAAUACCGCAUAAGCGCACAGUACCGCAUGGUACAGUGUGAAAAACUCCGGUGGUAUGAGAUGGACCCGCGUUGGAUUAGCCAGUUGGCGGGGUAACGGCCCACCAAAGCGACGAUCCAUAGCCGGCCUGAGAGGGCGACCGGCCACAUUGGGACUGAGACACGGCCCAGACUCCUGCGGGAGGCAGCAGUGGGGAAUAUUGCACAAUGGAGGAAACUCUGAUGCAGCGACGCCGCGUGAGUGAAGAAGUAUUUCGGUAUGUAAAGCUCUAUCAGCAGGGAAGAAGACGACGGUACCUGACUAAGAAGCCCCGGCUAACUACGUGCCAGCAGCCGCGGUAAUACGUAGGGGGCAAGCGUUAUCCGGAUUUACUGGGUGUAAAGGGAGCGUAGACGGCGAUGCAAGUCUGAAGUGAAAGGCGGGGGCUCAACUCCCGGAUUGCUUUGGAAACUGUAUGGCUAGAGUACCGGAGGGGUAAGCGGAAUUCCUGGUGUAGCGGUGAAAUGCGUAGAUAUCAGGAGGAACACCGGUGGCGAAGGCGGCUUACUGGACGGCAACUGACGUUGAGGCUCGAAAGCGUGGGGAGCAAACAGG
rnacentral:rRNA from 1 species